CACCGAUAAUUCGAAUCUCAUUAGUCUUGUUCCCAAAGGAACCCCUCUAGACAAAUAUCUGAUUUUCAUCUAAAGCUUGCAAAUCUUGCAUUAAUGGCAGCGGUAGGGGUGGAGACGAAGCAACCGGAAUCAAUUAUGGUGGAGGAGACAUGCUCCGCUAAGACGGCUGGGAAACAAGGGGAGGGGCUGAGGCAAUACUAUCUACAACACAUCCAUGAGCUCCAGCUACAGGUCCGCCAAAAGACUCACAAUCUUAAUCGUCUUGAAGCUCAGCGUAAUGAGCUCAAUUCCAGAGUGAGAAUGCUUAGAGAAGAAUUACAGCUUCUUCAGGAACCUGGUUCAUAUGUUGGUGAAGUUGUCAAAGUAAUGGGGAAAAAUAAGGUGUUAGUUAAGGUUCACCCAGAAGGAAAAUAUGUUGUUGAUAUUGAUAAAAAUAUUGAUAUCACAAAGAUCACACCAUCAACAAGGGUUGCCCUCCGUAAUGACAGCUAUGUCCUUCACUUGAUCUUGCCAAGCAAAGUGGAUCCAUUGGUCAACCUUAUGAAAGUUGAAAAGGUUCCAGAUUCUACAUAUGAUAUGAUCGGUGGUCUUGACCAACAAAUUAAGGAGAUAAAGGAGGUCAUUGAACUUCCAAUUAAACAUCCUGAAUUGUUUGAGAGUCUUGGAAUUGCUCAACCAAAGGGUGUUCUUCUGUAUGGGCCACCGGGUACUGGAAAGACACUAUUAGCCAGGGCUGUAGCCCAUCAUACUGACUGUACUUUCAUUAGGGUUUCUGGCUCCGAAUUGGUUCAAAAAUACAUUGGUGAAGGCUCUAGAAUGGUCAGAGAACUUUUUGUCAUGGCAAGGUUUGUGUCCUCUCUUCCCUUCGCUCUCUCUCCUAGAAGUGUUAUAAUUAAUUUGUUAUUUCAAUGUCAGCUUUUUAGUACCUACUACAGUCCACUUUUGUUUAUUUAUUUGCAUUGCUUAUUAUAGGCAUUGGGACUGACCUUUUAUAAUAAAUACAAAAUCAGGAAAAGUGGUUAUGCAGUUGAGUUUCGUAGAGUUGGCUGGCUACAAUGUUAAUAUGAGAUGAAAGAGAAUGCACAUUAUAUUUAUAUCUUUGUGGAGAUGUAAGAACUGAUGACGGCUGAGUUAAAACUUUUUGUCUUGUGAACAUUUUAGCAUUAGCCUAAUCUGAAAUCACUGUAAUGUCCUUUCUUGUUAAAUUGUAGUGUAGAAAACUGCUUUCUUACAUACUUCUGCUUAGAAUUUCAGAUCUUAUGUCUAGUGGUUCUUACUUUUUGGUUUUUCUGCAGGGAACAUGCUCCAUCUAUCAUUUUCAUGGAUGAAAUUGACAGUAUUGGAUCUGCUAGAAUGGAAUCUGGGAGUGGAAAUGGUGACAGUGAGGUCCAGCGGACUAUGCUGGAGCUUCUCAAUCAGUUGGAUGGAUUUGAAGCGUCAAACAAGAUCAAGGUUUUGAUGGCAACUAAUCGGAUUGAUAUUCUGGAUCAAGCCCUCCUCAGGCCUGGACGGAUUGACAGGAAAAUAGAAUUUCCAAAUCCUAAUGAAGAGUCACGUCUUGAUAUCUUGAAAAUCCAUUCAAGAAGAAUGAAUUUAAUGCGUGGGAUUGAUUUAAAGAAGAUUGCAGAGAAGAUGAAUGGUGCAUCUGGUGCAGAGCUCAAGGUAUUUUUCUCCCUUAUAUCAGUAAAAUCUUUCCUCUUGCUUUUGGCAUUCUCCACUUUUGGCCCGUAGUUGCUUUUUAAAAGAUAUAUUACCUCAGCUUAUGGUCUAUUCAUGUUAGAUGCUGUUGUUGAAUAUUUUACGCAAGACAAUUUUAUUUUGUUGUAUAUAUUUACAGAGGCAGAAAUCAGAAAGUAGCUUCAAACUUCUUUUGUGUCAUUGAUUCUCAUUAUACUUUUACAGGCUGUGUGCACGGAGGCAGGAAUGUUUGCCCUAAGGGAGAGGAGGGUCCAUGUGACCCAAGAAGACUUUGAGAUGGCAGUAGCAAAGGUCAUGAAGAAGGAGACAGAGAAGAACAUGUCAUUGCGAAAGCUUUGGAAAUAAAUAAAUUAAAUUCCAAAUUUAAUGUUGUGUUUUUUGGACCAACCAAUGGGAUCACGAAGAAAAAGAAUCAAAUGGUGUACCCAUUGGUUUGCAGGAUUGGUUAUUCCUGCUUGGACUAGGUUGGCAUCAUGCAUGUGCUUUUUAUUCACAGGGUGUAAAGACAUCAUUUUCCUAGUCAAGGGGCUCUAAGAGACGCAUAGUUUUGUAUCUUCUGUUUUAAACAGAAGGCCGAGCCUGUGGAUUUUCUUUUUAAUCGUGGAUUCUCUAAGUGAUUAUGACUAUUGCUUCUCUUGAUUUGACUCCUAUAUUUUUCGCAUCUUAGUAUUACUUCUACAAUGAGAACUCUACUUCCAUUCUUU
rnacentral:misc_RNA from 1 species